CAUGUGGCCAAAUUCUUCUUUUGCUCCAGAUCCACUCUCCACUGAAAUGUUAUCUCCUUAGUGAAGGUUUGUCUACACCCCUCACACCGGGAACUAAAGGGCUUCCUCUGAAUGUUCAAAAUAACUCUCCCUUAUAGCAUGUCGUACUUUUUACUUUUUUCAGUACAUGUUGUUUUGUUCCUAUUUCACCACCUUAAUUAGACUGUAAGCUCCUUGAACACAAGCUCAAGGAGCAUAUUCCAUGAGUAGAACAGCUCAGAUGGCUUCUUCAUUCCCUUCUCUAGCCUCCCUGGCUUCUGUAAUGCCAGGCUGGGACCACAGAGAUGAGUAAGACGUGGUCCCCAGACCCAAGCUGCUCAAAAGCCUAGUGGGCCAUGGAGAAGCUAGAAGCAGAAAGCCAGGAGAGGGCAGUCCUGUGGAAGAUAACAAGGAAGAGUGUUUCAGGAAGGCAGGAAUGGCCAGCAAGGCCAGGUGCCACUGAACAGGAUAAGGAUGAAAAGUGACCUUUGAGUUUGGGUCUAUGUUUAGAAUUCGGUAGGCACCAAGCUAGAUAAAAGGAAUUUCAGUAUACUCAUAGAACUAAAAAUCAGACUGGAGUGAGUUAACUAGGAAUUGGAGAAAUGAAACAGAAACAGACCUGUAAGCAUUACAGAAAUUAAAUCAGUAGUUAAAAA
rnacentral:lncRNA from 1 species